rnacentral:misc_RNA from 1 species
CAACCCUCAAGCCCCCGGGCUUGGUGUUGGGGCUCGGCCCGUCCCUCGCGGCGCGCCGUCCCCGAAAUCUAGUGGCGGUCUCGCUGCAGCCUCCCCUGCGUAGUAGCUAACACUCGCGGCGGGAACUGCGCGGGGCCACGCCGUUAAACCCCCAACUUUCUGAU